GAGGAGGACGACGAUGACUCCGAUUAUCCGGAGGAGCUGGAAGAUGACGACGAGGACGCCAGUUACUCCACGGAAAGCAGCUUCAGCAGCACUCCAGGAUCUUCAUGACAUUCAAUGAGUAGCAAAAUUUGAAGAUAACUUCUGGAAUUUCAUCUAAUGUGUACUCAUCUGGAUCUUAGGGGAAAUAACCUAUCAGGUUAUAGGGAAGGAGGACCUUUAAUAACCAAGCUAAAUGUGUGGGCUGUUUACCUCUCCCUCUUAUGCAAAGGUAUCCCUUGCACACACUGAAAACUUCAUAGACCAAAAGCAUUAUAGCUCUAGUUUGCCUUGAAGGAAGUUGUAUUGUCUGUAGAGCAUGUGGGCCAUUUUCUGCCAAUAAAAUGUUCAAAUGUU
rnacentral:lncRNA from 1 species